UGCAUUAGUAAUGUAAAACUGGCCCAAAAGGGUUUAAAAUUGUCAGAAGUUGAUCUUGAUCAGUUCAAAUAUUUUUUGACAAAGAAAAUCAGUUCUGGUCAGUUCAAAUCUAUUUUGACCAGUUUAAACCAAUUCUGCAGAACUCGAGCCUGUGGUCGGUAAACCCAGGAAGAUGGCUGAAGACUAUGCUGAUUCAAGCCAAAGCAAGGAAUCAGAGAAAGGUAAGAUUCAUUAAGACUUGGGUGAAAAGAGUUAACAUGGGCAGAAUCCUGGAAGACUUCAAGAAGAAGGUGGAAUUCAAACGGAGUCCUGAAGAAUAGGUAAGGUUUUUCUAGGGGAA
rnacentral:lncRNA from 10 species